rnacentral:tRNA from 1 species
GACGUGGUUGGGGUCCGGCAGCCCGUCGGCGGUGUUGGCGCCGUCGUCCGGUUCGGCCUGGACCGCGUCGCC